rnacentral:misc_RNA from 1 species
CCUUUCUACGGAGAUUUCUUGGAAUCCUCGCGUUGUUUGACGUGGGGUCGUGGCCCUGGCGGCCGCCGUUGGGCGGGCGCGCGUGGGCUGUUCCACUGGUGCGGAAGCGAUCAUCGCUGUGGGUGGUAUGGGCAUGCUGUUGGGUUCCCGGGCCGCUGUUCGCGGCGCCUGGGCGCCAUCCAUGGCUGGCUGGCCCUUCGUGGGUCGUGUCGGCGGUGGCGUGGUGGUGGCUUGAGAACUGGAUAGUGGACGCGAGCGAUCAUGGCUGGCCGUUGGCUGGUCGUGGUUGCUGCAUGUUUUUCGCCGGGCCUCUGUUGUUCAGGGGUCUGGUUGAUCGUUUGAUGUGUUUUUGUGAUCUUGAUUGUGUUGAUGUGUCGUCUGGUAGGCUGUGCGCCGCGUCGUGGUCCCGGGGGUUCGCCCUUGGGGGUCG